GAAAUGCGAUAAGUAAUGUGAAUUGCAGAAUUCAGUGAAUCAUCGAAUCUUUGAACGCACCUUGCGCUCCUUGGUAUUCCUUGGAGCAUGCCUGUUUGAGUAUCAUGAAAUCUUCAAAGUAAAUCUUUUGUUAACUCAAUUGGUUUCUACUUUGGUAUUGGAGGUCUUUGCAGCUUCACACCUGCUCCUCUUUGUUCAUUAGCUGGAUCUCAGUGUUAUGCUUGGUUCCACUCGGCGUGAUAAGUUAUCUAUCGCUGAGGACACUGUAAAAGGUGGCCAAGGUAAAUGCAGAUGAACCGCUUCUAAUCGUCCAUUGACUUGGACAAUACUUUUAUGAUCUGAUCUCAAAUCAGGUAGGACUACCCGCUGAACUUAAGC
rnacentral:misc_RNA from 1 species